rnacentral:rRNA from 1 species
GAAUUCGCCCUUAGAGUUUGAUCCUGGCUCAGGACGAACGCUGGCGGCGCGCCUAACACAUGCAAGUCGAACGGAGCUUAGAGAGCUUGCUUUUUAAGCUUAGUGGCGAACGGGUGAGUAACGCGUGAGUAACCUGCCCUAGAGUGGGGGACAACAGUUGGAAACGACUGCUAAUACCGCAUAAGCCCACGGUACCGCAUGGUACUGAGGGAAAAGGAUUUAUUCGCUUUAGGAUGGACUCGCGUCCAAUUAGCUAGUUGGUGAGGUAACGGCCCACCAAGGCGACGAUUGGUAGCCGGACUGAGAGGUUGAACGGCCACAUUGGGACUGAGACACGGCCCAGACUCCUACGGGAGGCAGCAGUGGGGGAUAUUGCACAAUGGGGGAAACCCUGAUGCAGCGACGCCGCGUGGAGGAAGAAGGUUUUCGGAUUGUAAACUCCUGUCGUUAGGGACGAUAAUGACGGUACCUAACAAGAAAGCACCGGCUAACUACGUGCCAGCAGCCGCGGUAAAACGUAGGGUGCAAGCGUUGUCCGGAAUUACUGGGUGUAAAGGGAGCGCAGGCGGGAAGACAAGUUGGAAGUGAAAACCAUGGGCUCAACCCAUGAAUUGCUUUCAAAACUGUUUUUCUUGAGUAGUGCAGAGGUAGAUGGAAUUCCCGGUGUAGCGGUGGAAUGCGUAGAUAUCGGGAGGAACACCAGUGGCGAAGGCGGUCUACUGGGCACCAACUGACGCUGAGGCUCGAAAGCAUGGGUAGCAAACAGGAUUAGAUACCCUGGUAGUCCAUGCCGUAAACGAUGAUUAC